rnacentral:rRNA from 1 species
GACGAACGCUGGCGGCGUGCUUAACACAUGCAAGUCGAGCGGUAAGGCCCUUUCGGGGGUACGACGAGCGGCGAACGGGUGAGUAACACGUGGGUGACCUGCCCUCCAGCUCUGGGAGUAAGCCUGGGAAACCGGGGUACUAAUACCGGAUAUGACUCCAUGACGCAUGUUGUGGGGUGGAAAGCCUUGUGCGGCUGAGGAUGGGCCCGCGGCCUAUCAGCUUGUUGGUGGGGUGAUGGCCUACCAAGGCGACGACGGGUAGCCGGCCUGAGAGGGCGACCGGCCACACUGGGACUGAGACACGGCCCAGACUCCUACGGGAGGGCAGCAGUGGGGAAUCUUGCGCAAUGGGCGAAAGCCUGACGCAGCGACGCCGCGUGAGGGA